GUGGCAGGUUAUACUCUCCCAAUACGACAUAGUCUACAUGACCCGAAAAGCGGUGAAAGGUAGCGUGAUUGCUGACCUCCUAGCAGAAAACCCUAUCCCGGAUUAUGAAGCUCUGGAUUUUGAAUUCCCUGAUGAGCAUAUUAAUGGAGUAGACUGCGAAGAAGGGGGGGCCAGCCGAUGUAUGGGAAAUGUAUUUCGACGGAGCUGUCAAUUUGUCCGGUAAUGGAAUUGGAGCUGUAUUAAUAUCCCCGGAUGGAAAACACUUUCCGAUAGCUGUCAAGUUGAGAUUUGACUGCACCAACAACGUCGCGGAAUACGAAGCUUGUGUGAUGGGUCUACAGGCUGCCAUCGAAAUGAAAAUCAGGAAGUUGGAGGUAUAUGGAGACUCAGCCCUGAUCAUUUAUCAAGUCAAGGGAGAAUGG
rnacentral:misc_RNA from 1 species